ensembl:lincRNA
GCUUUGAAAUGGUGCAUAAAUACGAAUGUGAGGAGCUGAAUCUGUGGCUUCAGAACCCUGCCAUGCCUACCUGGCUGAUUCCCAAGCUCUAGCUCUGUCCAUUUCACCCCGGACCUACUGUGCACCUUCCACCCAUCUCACCCCUGCCACCGCCCCUGACUCCAGAAACCUGGCACGUGACAAAGAUUACAUAGUGCAUCUGAGGUCACAGGCCUGAAGAAGAGAAGGGGUGGGAGCAGAAGUGAGGGAAAGGAAAGAAAGAAGAAAGGAAGGAGGGAGGGAGGCAGGGAGGGGAGAAGGGAGGAACCCAUGAGGAAGGAGGGCUAACAUCUCAGAAAGGGAUGGUGGCUCUGCUCUGCGAUGAACCGUCUCCGGGGGCUGCAUGCAAAGCAAAAGCCAAGGAGAAUCCGCAGUAUUUAUUCACUCCGUGAACACAACAGAGAUCUAGGACAGAGCCUGGAUGAACCUCCCCACCUUGCCAACACCCUGAGUUGCCCUGCAUGGAAUUUCCAGCAGAGAGGUGCUGGGAGUGAGACGCAAGAUGAAGAGACGAGAGGGAAUGGAAAGGAGGAAAAAGAGGGGAGUGUUGCCCAGAGAAGGGGCCCAUCAGAACCCUGGGGCCUGAGCCUGAGCUGUGACAGGCGGGACCUGUCCUCCAGACUGCGGGGCCAGGGAGGCAGCGAGCCUCACCUACCAGCCGAGCCUCCAGCAAUUCACAGCAGAGAGGAAGCCACAGGCGGCUGCACCUCAGAUCAUGAACAGACUUGCUGGUGCUAAACAGGCUUCAUUGGAUGAAACCUCCUGCCUCCCCCCAAAUCACACUGCACGGAUUAAAUGUUCAAAGACACCAGACAAACCUAGGAUAUUGCCAUGGGUCAUUAUCACUAAUGGAUCGGAGAUGGGGUUAAGUCGGUCAAAUCCCUGCUCUGAGCCCAGAAAAGUCCACAGAAACCAAAUCCUGGUCACCAGAUUGAGACUGAAAUCAGGUUUAAGCGGAGAGAUGAAGAGAUGAAUGAAAGGCAGCUGGGAUGGAUCAUCUGGGGAUGCCCAUGACCCAUUUCACUGUACCCGCUCAUCGCAGGGGCACCUGGCAGCCAUACUGGAACCGUGCGGCCCUUCUCCCUGGCUGGAUGAGGAAUAAGCACCCAACCUCAGAAGGGCCAAUCAGAGUCCCAGCUGGGGUUACUAGACGGAGAGUAAUGGCAGACAGACAGACAGACAGACUGACUCCCUCCAUGGCAGGAGCUGUAACAAAACUGGGAGAUGCAGGCAGCCAUUUUGGAUGCCAUGUGGACAAAGUUGUAGCAAAAGUUAAAGGAAAGGAACCAAACCAUCAUAGGGAGGUGCAACAGGGCAGGAUCAUUAUGUAGGGGCUCAGCUUCGCGGCCCUUGUUCCAGGCACUGAGGCACUCUGCCUCUUAGAAUGCAUCACCCCUUUUUGUUCCAGCAAGCUCAGGCUGUUCUCCCACUUACAUCCAUACAAGGGCAAACUAUGCAACCAACCAAACAAUGUUGGGGAAGAAUAUUUAUUAACAGGAAAAAUGUACACAAGAAUGAUGUUGAGUGCAGAGAGCAUGUUUCUUUCCCUCCUUCAACAGAUAUUUACUGGGCACUUCCUACAUGUCAGAUGUUGCAUAUACACUGAGGAGAAAGGUCAUGGCCUCUGCCCCUGUCAAAUUUACAGUGAAGUUACCAAAUGCCAGGUAAGAUCCCACUUUAGUCAAAAGAGACGAAUAACUGGCAUGUGAUGAGUUUCACACCAGGGAAGACAAAUGAAGGGCACUUGUAACAUCUUCAAAACCAGUGCUGUUCCAACCAUCGCCUGUGGACCUCCAGCCUGGCGUCCCCUGGGAGCUUGUGACCCAUGCAGAUUCUCAACCCCUGCCCAGACCUACUGGCAGAAGGGCCCAGAAAUCUGUUCUAACAAGACUUCUGGAUGAUCCUGAUACAUUUUAAAGUGUCACAAUCACCUGCCUACAGCACAAUAGCGUCAAGAUCCCCCUUCCAAACUAAUAAGAAUUUCCAGGGACUUCCCUGGUGAUCCAGUGGCUAAUACUCCAUGCUCCCAAUCCAAGGGGCCUGGAAUCGAUCCUUGAUGGGGGACAGUAGACUCCAUAUCCCACAACUAAGAGUCUGCAUGCUGCCACUAGAAGGUCCUGCACGUCACAACUAAAAUCAAUCAAUCAAUCAAUCAAUCCUGCAUGCCGCAUCAAAGAUUGAAAAUCUCACAGGCUGCAACUAAGACCUGGCAUAGCCAAAUCAAUAAAAAUAAAUAAGUUUAAAAAAAAAAAAAAAAAGCUUCCACUUUUUCCCACGGUUUCCUUUCUCAAAUGCUGCAGUUUCAAAACCACCUAGGGAUGCAUGAGUCAACAAUUAAUUUUAACAACCAGUUAUGUAUGAAAUCACAUAUGUUAGUUAAUUGCCACAACUCCUUAACGUAGGUACUAUGUAUUUCCCACUUUACAGGUGAAAAGACUGAGGAACAGAGAGGUUAAGCCACUUGCCCAAAGUCACACAACUAAUAAGCAUUAGGUAUUGGAUUUAAAUCCAGGCAGUCUCACUCCAGAAUCAAACCUGGGUCUCCUGCAUGGCAGGCAGAUUCUUUACCACAUGAACCACCAGGGAAGCCCAACUCUCACAAACCACUAAGUUAAACUACUUGUCAAAUGAGUACUGAGCAUCUUUGCCACCCACAGAGGUAGAGAGCCCAGUCCCUGGACCGCACCCUGCAGCUCGUUCCUGAGCAGAUUUUGCUGGGACCUCACACCUGGGGAGACCUGGCCCUUCAGAUCAGGGUGUGAAGGCUCCUGAAGUCGAGAAGAGCCCACAGCCAUGCUGCCUGAGCUUCAGAAUGUAGGAGCCUCUCCAUUCACACACCCCCUGUCCUGUGGGGUCCCCACUCAGUGAGGAUGGGUUCUGGUAUCCACCUAAAACCACACUUGCAAGAAUCCUCACCUCCAGCUGCCGGCACCUGGGGGCCGACUUCUGGCUCUGUCCAGGCUCUCUCUUCCCUUAUAGGAAUCUAGAAUUCUGUGGUCCUUUCUGACUAGCUACCCUUGAUAGAAGCUGGUUUUUACCUUUGAGUCCCAAGGUGAAGACCAGAAUCUUCUAUUUCUUUUCUUCUCUUCUAGGGAAGUCCUUGGUCCCUGUUGGGGGAAAUAUUACUAAUUUUAAAAGAUAAGGGAGUAUGUGUGGCCCAGCUCACGCUCCGGGAGCAACAACAGCUGGAAGAAACAUUGGGCUGGAAGUGGCCCCCCAACUCUGCUCGCCAAUCACCGCCCAGAGCCCAGGUCCACCCCUAGCCGACAGGUCCAACCCUAGCCAACUAGUCCAAUCACACUCCUGGAGGAGUGAAGAU